ensembl:snRNA U6 U6 spliceosomal RNA
CAGCCCACUUUGGCAACACAUCUCACAUUGAAACAAUACAGAGAUCAACCUGGCCCUUGUGCAAGAUAACAUGUACAUUUGUGAAAUGUUCCAUAUUUUU